rnacentral:rRNA from 1 species
GCUCCAAUAGCAUAUAUUAAAGUUGUUGCAGUUAAAAAGCUCGUAGUUGGAUUUCUGUGAGAGUAUGAUGUCCUAACGUGUUUAGUGCGCAGAAAACUCUUGCAUCCUUCUGUUACCUCCACAUGGCAUUCACUUGCCAGUGGUUGGCUCAGAGAAUUUACCUUGAGAAAAUUAGAGUGUUUCAGGCAGGCUAGGCCGGA